GGAAGUUCUGAUGGUCAUCUGAAGACUACAGGUCCAUUAUCUACAAGCAAAAUUCGAGUAACAGAAUGUUUAAAGAAAGCUCUACUCGAACUCUAGGUCGGAACACAUCGAGGAACCCUCAAUUUGAAGCAAACGAGAAUGAGUUUGAAGCCUCACAAAACAAAUAUAACUACCCACCUCCGAGAACCCCUUUGAACACUAUACCAGACCCGUGGCAGUGCCAAAAGGAGCCUGAAGAAUCUGAUGCUAAUUCUCAUUACAAACUCGAAGCUCGGUCGGGUCGAUCAUCCGAUAAAAGAUGUGAAGCUUCAUCCGAUAGGUUUGGAAACCUCAGCUUGAACUAUGGGACUCCGAGAUUUUUGGGUCGUAAUGGAAAGGCAAAUUCGGAGCCAAACUCUGCGCAAAGCACCCCGGCAAGAAAUGCCUCUAGAAUUUCACUUGGUGGCGCAGGGGGAAUUUGUCCUGGCACCAGAGUUCAAUACCCAGGAGGAGGAAAAGCAGGGAGUUCCGGUACAUUUUUUAAGGGUGUUUCAGUUGCAAACUCAGAAUUUUCCGAGGAGGUUCAGCAUUUCGAGCUCAAAGAAGACCCUUCUUUCUGGAUGGAUCAUAAUGUGCAGGUACUGAUAAGAAUUCGACCCCUAAAUAAUAUUGAGAAAUUUUCACAAGGACAUGGCCGGUGCUUGAGACAGGAAACUGCGCAGACUCUGGUUUGGGUUGGCCAUCCUGAAACCAGAUUCACCUUUGAUCAUAUAGCAUGCGAGACAUUAUCUCAGGAAAAUCUGUUCAGAGUUGCUGGGAUGCCCAUGGUCGAGAAUUGUUUGUCUGGUUAUAAUAGCUGUAUGUUUGCUUAUGGUCAGACCGGCAGCGGCAAGACGUAUACAAUGAUGGGUGAGAUAAAAGAGGAAGAAGGACACCUAACUGAAAAAAGCGGGAUAACGCCAAGAGUUUUUGAUUUUUUAUUUAUGAGAAUUAAACUGGAAGAAGAGAGCAGAAGGGAUGAUAAACUGAGAUACAGUUGCAAAUGUUCCUUUUUAGAGAUAUACAAUGAGCAAAUAACAGAUCUUUUAGAGCCUUCAUCCACUAAUCUGCAACUCAGAGAAGAUACAAAGAAGGGGGUAUACGUUGAAAACCUUUCUGAAUAUAGUGUGGGAACUGUGAGCGAUGUUCUCAAGCUCGUGUUACAGGGCACUGCAAAUAGAAAGGUGGCCGCAACUCAUAUGAAUUGUAAGAGCAGUCGGUCUCACAGCGUUUUCACUUGUAUUAUUGAAAGCCGUUGGGAGAAAGAUUCUAUGACUCAUUUUAGGUUCGCAAGGUUAAAUUUGGUAGAUCUAGCUGGUUCUGAAAGGCAGAAGAGCUCUGGCACAGAUAGUGAACGAUUGAAAGAAGCAGCAAAUAUAAAUAAAUCCUUGUCUACACUUGGCUUGGUCAUAAUGAAUUUGGUGGAUCUGACGCAUGGGAAACCACGACAUGUCCCCUAUCGAGAUUCACGGCUUACAUUUCUUCUUCAGGAUUCUCUCGGGGGCAACUCAAAAACAGUGAUGAUUGCAAAUGUCAGCCCAUCCAUUUGCUCCGCAAAUGAAACGCUAAGUACUUUGAAGUUUGCUCAGCGAGCCAAGCUGGUUCAAAACAAUGUAAAAGUAAACGAAGGCACUUCAGGCGACAUAAAUGCACUGCAGUGGCAAAUCCAACAGUUAAAGAGUCAAUUAUCCUUUCUGAUAAAGCACAAAAAUUUUCGGAGUCUCACGUCAAAUUUGGAGCCAUAUCCUGAGCUUCAUAGGUUGAGUGAAUUGUCAGAAGGAUGCAACUCUUUCAUGGAGAAGGCAACAAUGGGCCACAAGCUGUGUCUUCAAACCAAAGAGAUGACAUGCAUGAAAGCUACUUUGUUAGGAGCAUUGAGGAGAGAAAAACUGGCUGAGAUCGCAAUUCAGAAUUUAAAUGCUGAAAUCGAACGCCUGAACCGCUUGGCUCGGCAAAGGGAAGAGGAUACUCAACAUACCGCAUUUAAGUUGAGGUUCUGUGAGGAGAAAAUUGAUCAACUUGAAUUAUUAGUAGAUGGUGCCUUGUCGCCCGAGGAGCACCUCUCGAAGGAAAACAGGGCUUUGAAAAAGGAGAUUAAGGAGCUUCAAGCGAGGAUUGAGAACAACACAGAGACAACCAGGCUUGCUUUGGAGAAUGAUAGAAUUUUACACCAACUGCGACAGUUCCAAGACUUUUACGAGCAUGGAGAGCGAGAAAGAUUGCUGACAGAACUUUCCCAAUUACGCGAUCAUCUAGUUGUCAGCCUUCAAGAAAAACUCACGUUUUCAAUGCGAAAUGAAAGCCAGGAUAAUGAUACUAAACAAGAGUUGGAAGAUUGCCAGAUCAUGAAUUCUAAAUUGCUUCGCGAUGUAGAUAGAUUACAAACAGAACUUGUAAAGUAUAUUAGCUGCGACCAAGCAAAGUCCGAUUCUGUUCUAAAUUCUUCAUUUGAGCUUCCAAAUGAACUGAUGAAGACUGAUAAAUGUUCGCUGGUUGGUACAGUAUCUCUGAAAAGUGAUUUUGGAAAUGAGAUGGCAUUCAAUACUUGGACAGUUGAUGAUGUCGAAGGACAUGCUUUAGGUGCCUCAGAAAUGCUCACUAAUAAUAAUGAAGAAAACAGGCAGAAAAUGUUGGAAGCCAAACUGGAAAGAAUGAGUAAGGAUCUUGAGGAGGUUAAGCUGCUUAACGACCAAUACCAAGAAAAAUGGGCGCUUCAGUUAUCCCAAAAACACCAGAUUGAAUCAGUCUGCGACGAGGUUGAGAUGGAAACAACAAGAACAAUUUUGCAUUUGCAGGAAGAGAUUGCAAAUCUUCAGUCAGAUUUAGAGGGGAGGUUAUGUUCCACUGCUCGGGAAAAUACAGAGCUAAGGAAUAUGGUAGCUACAAAAGAGGAGGAAAUUAGGACACUGUGUUUGGAGUGGGAAAGAGCAAUCUUUGAGCUAACAACCUUUCUUCUAGAUGGCUCUAGAUCUCUCAGAGAUGCCUGUGGCCAAGUAGAAAGCAUCACUGGUUCAUUUCCUGAAGGAAACGCUAGGAUUGCUGAACACAUCGGCAUGGCUGUCAAAAGCCAUAUGGAGAAGGAGGAAACAAUUCAGAAGCUGGAACGUAGCUUGGAAGAAGCACAGAAGAUGGUAUUGGACAUGGAGUUGAAGGUAAGUUCCUUAAAAGAAGCAACUGCAACCUUAAGUGCGUUUCAACAAUUACACAAUGAAGACUCCGUUCAGUUAAGAGUGUCGUUGGAUGAGAAGGCCGAUAUGUUAAGGUUUUUAGAAAAUGAAGUGAAAUGUAAAGAUGAACAGCUUAGAAAAGCAGAUAAACGAGCUGACGCUGCAUUUUUGUUAGUGAGAUGGCUUUCUGAUAAUCAAAAUAUUUUUCAUACAAAUGAUUUAGCAGGAGAUAUUUCGAUCCCUGAACAGGAUGUGCACAGUAAGCUGGGUAGUCAGACCAUUUUUGAGGAGCAAGGUGAUAGGAAUCAUCUCAUAUCAAAUGAACUCAUGGCUCAAGUUGAGUUGACGAAAACAGAAGUACUGGAGAUGAAUGCUGCUGCUGAAGCCUUUUGUGAAGAUAGAGAAAUGCAUAUGGCCGAUUUCCAAACAAGUGCCUUCAGCCUUUCUCCUGCUAGUAGGGACUUUGUUCUGGACCCUGUCAAACAAAAUCAGGAUACGAGAAUAAAAAUAAAGGAUUUAAAUAUGCACAAUAACAGUUCUGCAUGUUGUGCGGCUGACACCCUCAUAGCAGAUACAAACAAAUUUCUGAAGUUGGAAGACUGGCCUCACAUACUACAUCAGAUACAAAGGGAACUAGUUGACAUGAAUAUAAAACUGAGCAUCAUACAGAAUUAUACUAGCACAGAAAUGGAUCUGUCUAAUUGCUCAUUAAUAGACAACGAUCUCAUGGAUUUUGAUGCAUCGAGUGCUGAUAGUUCUUCAGUUUCCGAUUCAUCAACUGAAACUGAGAGCAUUGUUUCUGGAAGCAUAUUGCGUGGAUCCAGAAGUAAAUGUGGAAUAAAGUUCCCUGGAAAAAUAACUGAACAGAUAGCGAAUCCAAAAUCUGAAAUUCAAGCUGAUAAUCAAGAAUCAGAAAAUACAGAUCAUCAUGUGAAGAUAUCAAUCCAAAGUAAAGCAGCAGCAUCCUUUCUUAGAAAAGAAUUAUAUGCCACGUACAAAGCUUUUAAUGAGCAGAAUGUUCAUUUUUCUGAACUUCUUAAAGAAUUGGAUGAUGGAAGUUGUUCUUGCAUAAAAGAACAAAGAAAGGAGACUCCUUGUGAGUUGAUGAUUCAAAAAGUUGAGGCAGGCAACCAAAAUGAUCCAAAGAUAUUAGUUGACAUGACAGCGAGACUUGAUGAUGGCUUGACCAAAUUUGAGCAAGCUCAUGCAACGGUUAAGGAAGCAGAUUUUAUGCUACAUGCUUUGACAAAGGCAUAUGAAGAUGCAAAACAGUUGAGUGUUACAUGGAAGCAGGCAAAUGAAAACCUGAUGACAGAGAGAGCAAGCUUGACAGACGAGAUUCAGAAACUUAAAUCUUCAAUAUGCCGUAAAGAAGAAGAAAACCAGUUACUGAAGGAUCACAUCAAUUCCAGUUUGACAGAGAUGGCAAACUCAGUUUCUAUACUUGAAGAGUGUUUUUUGCAAGUGCAAACAGAUGUUGAGAAGAAAUUCGUCUCAAUUUUUUCUAACGUUUUGCAGACUCAGGGGGAGAUGAUAUUCUCCACAAAAGGCCUAAGAACAUCUCUAGAAGAUAUAAUUUCUUGGGCUAUGGAGGAAAGAUUUGUAUCUUUCGUACUAAAAAAUUGCUAUAUAACGGAGCUUGUGAGUAAAUUCCCCUUCUUUAGGGUAAAGCAUAACUUCCGAUCAACCAAAGAAGAGAAAUUGUGUAAGUUUCUGGAAGUUUGCCCCAGUGCAGAGUCUGUCAUGGCUACAAGUAAUGAAGGCUCGGGGAAAAGAGAUCAAGCAGGCCAAAUUUUGCAAGAGGAGCAGGACUUGCCCAAUAGUAAUUUAAUGUAUGAACAUAUGGCCCUUAAAAAGGAAUUAGAGAGGAAACAAGAGCUACUGGAGGGUUUGUUUUUUGACUUUAGGCUGUUGCAGGAGUUAGCUUCCAACGGAAAAGACAUUAAGGAGGAGACUGAAAAGUUAAUAACAUCUUUGAGCCAAGUUCGAUAUGAGCUUGAGAUAAAAACAAAUCAUCUGGAAGACACUCUGGUACAGAAUAGAAAACUUGAAGGUUCUCUUGCUGAAACUGAAAGGAUCUUAUCCACUUCAAAUCACGAGCUUAAGCUUGCUCAAGAAUUGAUCGGCAAACUUUCAGAUCAAAAUACUGAGUUAAGGGAGAUUUUGAAAGAACUCUAUGCUAAAAAGGCUGAAGCCGAGGAGCAGUUGAAUGAACAGAAAGAUGUGAUCAAAGGUUUGGAGAAAGAAAUUGUUAACUUGACCUCUUCACUGGAAAAUAACUCACUUUCCUUGCUGGAAGGCAUUGAGGAUGAAUUAAGGAAGGCGAUCAUAGAGAGAGACCAGCUUCAUGAGGAAGUUUCUGUCUUAAAUGACAAACUUGAGAUGGCUUAUUCAUUGGCUGACGAAAAGGAAGCCAUUGCCAUAGAAGCCCGUCAGAAGUCAGAGGCUAGUAAGCUCUAUGCUGAACAGAAGGAAGAGGAAGUCAAGAUUCUUGAACAUUCCGUUGAGGAGCUUGAGGGUACCAUAAAUGUUUUAGAGAAAAAGGUGUAUGAAAUGGAUGAAGAGGUGGGAAGACAUCAUUUAAUUAGGGAUUCACUAGAAAAGAAACUCCAAGCUUUGGAGGAGAGACUGCAAGCAGUUGACAGUUUACCCCAAAAUGCAGAUUCAGAUAUCAUCAAAGUUCAACAACCUGAAGAGCAAAUGUCUAGACAACCAUCCCGUAGAAUAACGGAACUUCAUGAGGCACUUAAUCGGAUAAGAAUUCUUGAAGAGGAAAAGGCCGAACAAGAUAAGCAGAUUAAACAAUGGAAAGAGUACAUAUCUGAAGUCGUAUUGCAUGCGGAAGCUCAGGCCUCGCAGCACCAACAGAAGUACAAAACCCUGGAGUCCAUGUUUCGUGAAGUGAAAAAGGAAAUGUCAAAUUUAACAUCAACAGCACCAUUGGAGAAGGUCGAGAAAAGCUCAAUGAGGGCACGAGGUUCUAGCUCACCAUUCAGAUGCAUUUCAAAUCUUGUUCAGCAGAUGAAUCAGGAGAAAGAUCAGGAAUUGUCUGUGGCAAAUCUCCGAGUGGAGGAACUAGAAGCACUAGCAGCUAGCCGGCAGAAGGAGGUAUGCCUGCUACAAACAAGGCUGGCUGCUACCGAAAGCAUGACCCAUGAUGUCAUUCGGGACCUUCUAGGUGUCAAAAUGGACCUCACGAACUACGCAACUUUGGUAGACCAAAACCAGAUUCUGAAAUUAGUGGAAGAGGCUCAUAAUUUAAGAGUGGAGUUAUUUGCUAAGGAAAAAGAGAUUCAGGACCAAAGUCUGCUGAUUAAUGAACUGAUUGAAGAAAGAGAGAGCUGUAAAUUGGUGAUGAGAAGUAAAGAUGCAGAUAUAAUAGCUUCCCAAAUAGCCUUACAGAGACUCCAAGAGCGAGAUCAAUUGCUUUCAGCACAGAGGGAAAUGUUGAAGAUGGAUAAGACCAGUCUCAUGAAGAAGGUUGCAGAACUGGAUGAUAUGGUGAAAACUCUUUCCGCAACAAGAGAUAACCAACUUGUCCAACACUCGUCAAAGAUUAAGGAUAGGAGCUCUCAAAAAUUGGAUAGUGCUGGGAUCACUAGGAGACUGUCACAAUGUGAACGGCUUCUUUCUCGGGAGAAUGACAAGCUUGUUCAGUAUUGCAAAUCUUCUGCUGCUAAUAACCCACACCGCUAGACCACCAGCUUAGAACAUGGAAGCAGAACCGACUCCUACGCUGCUGUAUUUUGCCUGAGUCAUGCUUGUUGGUUUAAGAAAUAUUGGCACCAUUAUGUAAAGCAGUUGAUUUUGAACAAGUUAUUCUCACGUUUACCAAAAUGUUUUACAACUCUCAACAGUGAUGGGGCAAUUCAUGGAAUCAAUGAUACAG